rnacentral:lncRNA from 1 species
CCAGAUAUUAUUAAAAUAUAAAGUUAUAAAUGUUAAUUUGUUCAGUUAUAUUUAUGUCUUUUCCUUCAUUAUUUGUCAGAAAGAACAAAUAUUUAUAAAAGCCUUAGAUUGUACAUUGUGCUAAUAUAUUAACUUUGAGAUCAUUUUGAUCUCAUUUGACACAAGAAUUUUAAGUAAUUAAUAACAAGGAAUGUUCAAUUUGAUCUUUACAAAACCAUAUUUUACAGGAGGAAACAUUUUCUAGUUUUCAUUAUUUUAAGUUGUAAAAAAUUUGUUAAAAAUCUUUGUAGUAAUUACUACUAUACAUUUUUGCAUUGUUUUAGGAAAUUUAUCUUUAUAAUCAAAAUCAACAUUUCCAAAUAGUCAUGGUCAAUUUAUUAAAAACCUAAAAUAUACAGGGAUUAUAUAUAAUUAUGAGGGCAGAAAGAUUUGACAAGUAUGUUUUAGUAUAUUUUUUAGAGUUUUCCUUACACAAUUCAAUCUUAUCACUCAAAGGGAGAUAAUAGAUUGGAUAUGCUAAGAAUAUUUGAAUUAUCUCCAUUAGAGCACUAGACCAACAAUCUGGAUUAAUGUAGUACCCACUGUCAGCUAGUAGCCAAGUGUUCAUUAAAAGAUGACUUAAAGAUAAGGUUAUUAUGGUUUAUAAAUAAAUAAUGUUUCUUGAUAAGAAGCUUUGUCAAUUGUGUUUAUGGUUAGUUGAUAUCACACCUAUGGGGGUUAUUAUUCACCUUAGACUUCACAUGAAGUUUAACAUGGUUGGCCACAAUAGUGGAUAUUAAAUUUUUAAACCAUUUUCCCGUUCAUAAUUCAAAGGCUAGAAAAAGGACAAAGUGCAAUUUUUCUGACAUGGCAUAAAUUUCAAAUAAAUUCAAUUUAAAGAUUUUAAUCAAGUGUUGAGGAAUUCUUUGAUAAGAUCACUCAGAUGAAUAUCAUCCGGCAAUUUCACCCUACUCAAAGAGAAUCUUGAGAGCUGACAUUUUAUUUGUUGUUUUCAAUGACAGUCAAGGAUUGUACUGUAAAAAAGGAAUGUUAUUGAAUAAUAUUUAUUGAUAUAAACCAGUAAAAAAAAAUUGAAAAUUGAAGAAUAAAGUCAAUAAAAUUAAAAUAAUGAUUCCUUAAAUUGAAUGAUUAAUUUUUCAAAAAGCUUGGAAAUCAAUCAACCUCUAGAAUUAUGUUUUGUUAGUGUAGGUGUGUUAUAUUUAUUAUAUCAUAUAGCAUUUAUUGUUGAUAGCAAACAAAAAACCAUUUCUAAUCAGAUAUAUAGAAAAAUGCUUAGAAAGUUUAUUGAAUAAUACUUUAUUCAGAAACAAUACAGCUUAUAGAAUAUAUGUUGCACAAUAAAUAUUGUUUUAUGCAAUAUGCAUAGGAUUUUAC